rnacentral:lncRNA from 1 species
AGGAGAUGGUCCUUUAUAAUGCAGUGUGAUCUGUGCUGCAAUAGAGUUUUGGAAGCUAGAAGUUCAAAACGAGGUGUUGGCAGCACCAUGCUCUCUCUGAAGAUGCUAGGAAGAAUCUGCUCCAUGCCUUUCCAUUCGCUUCUGGGGUUUCCUGCAAGCCCUGACAUUCCUUGGCUUGUAGAUGCAUCACCCCAGUUUCCGCCCCCAUCAUCACAUGGCCUCCUCUCUGUGUGUGCCUCUGCGUUCCCUCUAUUCUUCUUCUAAGGACACCGACACCAGUCAUAGUGGAUUAAGUGUCCACUCCUAACCAAUUACAUCUGCAACAACCCUAUUUCCAAAUAAAGUCACAUUCUAAG